rnacentral:tRNA from 1 species
UGCGAGUGUGGUGAAAUUGGUAAACACACCAGACUUAAAAUCUGUCGAACGUAACGUUCUUGCGGGUUCAAGUCCGCCACUCGCAU